AUUGAACGCUGGCGGCAGGCUUAACACAUGCAAGUCGAGCGGGGUGAUGGUGCUUGCACUAUCACUUAGCGGCGGACGGGUGAGUAAUGCUUAGGAAUCUGCCUAUUAGUGGGGGACAACAUCUCGAAAGGGAUGCUAAUACCGCAUACGUCCUACGGGAGAAAGCAGGGGAUCUUUAUGACCUUGCGCUAAUAGAUGAGCCUAAGUCGGAUCAGCUAGUUGGUGGGGUGAAGGCCUACCAAGGCGACGAUCUGUAGCGGGUCUGAGAGGAUGAUCCGCCACACUGGGACUGAGACACGGCCCAGACUCCUACGGGAGGCAGCAGUGGGGAAUAUUGGACAAUGGGGGGAACCCUGAUCCAGCCAUGACGCGUGUGUGAAGAAGGCCUUAUGGUUGUAAAGCACUUUAAGCGAGGAGGAGGCUCUUUUGGUUAAUACCCAGAAUGAGUGGACGUUACUCGCAGAAUAAGCACCGGCUAACUCUGUGCCAGCCGCCGCCGUAA
rnacentral:rRNA from 1 species